UGAGGGAAAGUUGAAAAGCACUUUGAAAAGAGAGUGCAAGAGAACGUGAAACCGAUGUAAUGGAAGCGGAUGGCGCCAACGUAUCUAGUGCGUAUUCAGCUGUUCUGUUCGGUGAGCUUGUUGUUGGCAUUCCGCAAGGUUGUCGGCGGCUGGUUUCGCAGUUCGGGGCGGUGCAUUUACGUACAGAGUGCGCUGAGCUGGUUGACUUUGCAGUUGGAGGCGGACGUAGAGGACCUACCUUCGGGCUGGAAACCUGCGUUUGAGUACGAUUGUCGAGGUUGGCUGUGCUAAAGUGGUGGGCCUACGUUCAUAGCUGGCUUGGAUGGUGUGGCUAGUUGGUGACACAUGUGUUGCUAGUUGGUUGUGCUGUCUGAGCUAGUUGUGUUCUCUGCUACUUGCUCGGUGUCUAGUUGGUCACCCAUCCGACCCGUCUUGAAACACGGACCAAGGAGUUUAAGGUGUACGCGAGUCAUUGGGCCUGGAAACCCAAAGGCGUAAUGAAAGUGAAAUGCGUAGUGUUUGUGGUGUGAUCGGUUGGUGUUUCGACGCCGGCCGAGCAACAUCGCUCCGUUCCUGGUACUUGUACUGGUGCGGAAGCUGAGCGUACGCUUUGAGACCCGAAAGAU
rnacentral:rRNA from 1 species